rnacentral:lncRNA from 1 species
CUAUCAAAGGUCUUAUAAUGACCAUUUUUUUAUUGGUGGACAACUGGUAUAAGCUAACAGAAAAUUAAAACAGAAAAGAUCUUCCAAGAUCCUCAUAAACAGACAAACAUUCAUAAAUAACCCUAGAUAAAAUCUUUUAGCCAUGAGGGCUUGGACGUCUUUCUAAUGGGCCUUUGAGGUGUGAGUCCACUAUCAAUUGUUGUCCCCUGCAGAGCAACCUUGUCCUCAAGGUUGUUGGAUGUGGAUUUGGGAAGGGCAUUUGGAAGAGGUUGUGGGUCUAUGAUGGGUUCCUUGAGUGUAGAUUGGGGAGGUGUUAUUAUCAAUGGGCUAGGAUUGGGUAAGAAACUUUGGUUGGGUCGUGAGUGAGGUAUGUGGAGAUGUUGAGACUGAAUUUGAUUUAGUGGAGAGAUUUGAAUGGGCUGUUGAAUGUUAUUGGACCGAGUAAGGUGGUGGAGGGGCAAAUGCUUCCUACACCCAAUCAUUUUUGACAUGCACCCAACAUAUUUUUUUAAUUUCUAAAAAUGCCCUUAAUUCCAGAAAUAAAAAUCCAGAAUUGAAAAUAAUAUAUUCCGGAAAAAUAAAUUUGGAAGUGAUUAUUGAGUUUCAGAAAUAAAAAUCCGGAAAUAAAAAUUAAAAUUCUAUUUCGGACAAAAAAAUCCGGAAUUGAAAAAUAAUACAUUCUGGAAAAGAAAUUAUUGUGUUUCGGAAAUGAAAAUCCGGAAACAAAAAUGAAAAACCCAUUCCAGAUAAAAAAAUCCGUAAUAUAAAAUUUCGUUCAGGAAAAAAAAAUCUGGAAUACAUAUUUUGGAAUUUUUUUUAAGGACAGUUUCGUCUUUUCCGCUAGAAUCGGGUACAGUGAUAUGGUGCAGGAAGCAAUUGCCUAGUGGAGGAAGGGCGUGUGGUUGGUGAGACCGGGGUUGUUUCUAGUGUGGGAUGGGUUGGGGUGUUUGAGUGGGUUAGGGUUGAAUUAGGGUGAAUUUGAAAGGUUGGGGAGGGUAAGUGACCGCCAACAUUAAUGACACACGGGUGGGUAUUAAGGAGAGUGUUUGCUGAUGUGUUUAUGGUGUUAAUGGCACGUGGGUGGGUUAGGUGACAAGUGAAGGGUCGUUCAAUGGUGGCCCUUGAUGGUGGACACGUGUCAUUGGUAGCGGAAAUCUCGCUGAUGUUAGGUGAGAAUGUUGCGUGCGGAGGAAGUAAAGAAUUUUAAUGGUUUAAGUUAUCUUUUGAGUGUUCUGGGUUGAGUUAUGAGCCAUAAAGAGUGUUGGGAUGUGGAGGAAAAAUGAGAGUGUUGUCGUCGGGGUGGUGAAGGGUGGGGUUUUUGUGGCCGUGGUAAGGUUUAAGUAAAGCAAUGUGAAGCAACCACUCCUAUGCAUUUGAUGAUGCGAUAUGGACCAUAAUAUUUUCGAAUGAGUUUGUGGUGAGGCUUGGAAGAGAGGGAAAAUUGUUGGUAUGCUUUUCGUCGUAGUGGCACCCAAUUGUUAAUGUUGAAGACGUAGUCGUGAUUUGUUUGCAAUUUGGGCCAUGCGAUGUUGAGUGUGAGCGAGGGUGGUCUUCAAAUGGUGCAUUAUCUAUGUGCACUCUUGUAAGGUAGUGGCGAGAGCUGGUUCUGUUGUCGUGCUCGAAAUGUAGUCUGAUAUGGAAGGUGGAGGUCGCCCAUAAAGCGCUUGGAAAGGUGUAGUAUUGAUUGCGGUAUGGUAGGACGAGUUAUACCAAAACUCAACAAGGUGUAAGUACUUGUACCAUGUCCUCGGAUGGUCACUUGCGAAGGUAAAUUUCUAAUCCUCUAUUUAUGACUUCCGUUUGACCAUCUGUUUGAGGAUGAUAGGCGGUGCUAAAUUUGAGUUUGGUGCCUUGUAGGUGAAAAUGUUGCUUCCAAAAAAUUACUGAGUAAGAGUGAGUCUCUAUCGAAGAUGAUGGAUUUGGGAAUGUCGUGCAACCUACAAAUCUCAACAGAAAACGGUUAGCCAAUUGGGAUACGGUGAAGGAGGUGGGUAAUGCUAUGAGGUGGACAGAUUUGGACAAAAGAUCACAUAUGACCCAUAUCACCGUGUGGCUAAAUGUGUUAUGAAAUCUGUGGUGAGCUCAUCCCAAAUUUGGGUUGGUGAGGGAUUGGGUUGUAAAAGACCUAAGGGUUUGUUGUUGACUUGUUUAUUUUUUUUGGCAAGGGAGACAUUGUUUGAUGAACGAUUUGACAUCUCUAUACAUCCCUGGCCAAUAUAAGGACGCGGCUAGGCGAGCCACAAUGGCUUUAAGGCCCGAGUGUCCAACAGAGGGGGUGGCAUGGAACUAGUGAAGUAUGGUGGUGUGCAGAGAUUAUAUGGAUGUUAGAUAUAGUCUUCGGUCGAGAUACAAAAGAUCGUUUUGAAAGGUAUAUUCUUUGUUUUGAGAAGCUGUAACUUUGUGUACUUCUUGUUUCCCCAAUUUUGACUGGUAAUAUUUUUUUAAUUGCAAGAGGAUUUCUAGGAUUGGGGAGGAGAUGGCCAAAAAAAUAGAAGUGGGUGACCGAGAGAGGAAAUAAACUGCUUGAUUGUGGCGGUCUGGGCGGUACAAAAUAUAAAAAAUGUAACCAAUGAGUUUGGUGGCCAUUUUUGUUGCUCUAGAGUAGAACAUGCCUUG